GGUGUUGUCGUAUAGUGGUUAGUACACUUCGUUGUGGCCGAAGAAACAUGAGUUCGAUUCUCAUCAACGCCA